CACUUGCACAGAAAUACUGAUUGACUGUUUUCUUGUACCUGAUAACCUAAAACAAUGACUUUGCUGUGUAUUAAUAUAAUAUCAAUAAAAAUAUGGGGGAAAAUUGCAUUUUGAGUACAUGCACAGUCCUAAAUGGACUCUGAUUUCCACUGAAUGGAUUUAAAUGCCUUGUCAUUUUGAUCCUACAUAAAUCUUGCCAUUUCUGAAUGAAGACAUAUAUUUAUAAAUAUAUACAACUGGACAAAAAUUCAGCAGACAUUCAAGUUAAAAUUUUCAAUUAAGUUAAGUCUAUAUCUCUACUUCUUUCUAUAUACCGGAUUUUUUCACAUGAUUUCCUAUUUUGUCAUAUCUCCCCUGUAACUGUCCAAUGUUUAAACCAAUGUCU
rnacentral:lncRNA from 1 species